UACAGAGGUCUCAAGCGUUGUUCGGAUUCAUUGGGCGUAAAGGGUGCGUAGGCGGCGCGGAAAGUCGGGUGUGAAAUUUCGGAGCUUAACUCCGAAACUGCAUUCGAUACUCCCGUGCUUGAGGACUGGAGAGGAGACUGGAAUUUACGGUGUAGCAGUGAAAUGCGUAGAGAUCGUAAGGAAGACCAGUGGCGAAGGCGGGUCUCUGGACAGUUCCUGACGCUGAGGCACGAAGGUCAGGGGAGCAAACGGG
rnacentral:rRNA from 1 species